rnacentral:rRNA from 1 species
ACUCAAAUGAAUAGACGGGGGCCCGCACAAGCGGUGGAGCAUGGGGAUUAAUUCGUCACUAACCGAAGAACCUUACCCAGGCUUGACAUCCGCUGUAAGUCCGUGAAAGCGGUACCCCUCUCUCGCAAGAGAGAGCAGUGAGACAGGUGUUGCAUGGCUGUCGUCAGCUCGUGUCGUGAGAUGUUGGGUUAAGUCCCGCAACGAGCGCAACCCUCACGCGAUGUUGCCAGCGUCAAGUCGGGCACUCUUCGCGAACUGCCCGGGUAACCGGGAGGAAGGUGGGGAUGACGUCAAGUCGGCAUGGCCCUUACGCCUGGGGCUUCACCCAUGCUACAAUGGGCGCUACAGAGGGAUGCAAGACCGCGAGGUGGAGCCAAUCCCACAAAAGCGCUCUCAGUUCGGAUUGCAGGCUGCAACUCGCCUGCAUGAAGUCGGAAUCGCUAGUAACCGCCGGUCAGCUAAACGGCGGUGAAUACGUUCCCGGGCCUUGUACACACCGCCCGU